UUUCUUGUAUUCCCUGGCCUGUGGUCAUCUCCCUUCCUAGACAUGAAAAAUCAUAUAAUUAUUUAUUGCCAAAGAUGUCAUCAUUUAAUUGUUAUCAGAUUUUGACUUUCAAUGCUACAGUC
rnacentral:snoRNA from 1 species